GAGAAGAGAGAGGAAGUGGUUGUUAUGAGAGAAGCAGAAUUUGAAGCAUUGAAGUGGUAAUAUGCUUCAGGAGUCAUCUGCAUGGAUAAGUGAUUGCACCUGUGAGAAGACAUCUAUCUCAGCACAGCUGAAUUCUCUUUCCACAGUUCCUUGAGUGAAAUUACAAUGAGAAUGAGAUUGGUUCGAUGUGAGAUUGUUGCGUGUAUUCCUAAGUUCCCAAGCUCCUGGAGUCGGG